rnacentral:rRNA from 1 species
GAUGAACGCUGGCGGCGUUCCUAAUACAUGCCAGUCGAGCGAACAGACGAGGAGCUUGCUCCUCUGACGUUAGCGGCGGACGGGUGAGUAACACGUGGGUAACCUACCUAUAAGACUGGGAUAACUUCGGGAAACCGGAGCUAAUACCGGAUAAUAUAUUGAACCGCAUGGUUCAAUAGUGAAAGACGGUUUUGCUGUCACUUAUAGAUGGAUCCGCGCCGCAUUAGCUAGUUGGUAAGGUAACGGCUUACCAAGGCAACGAUGCGUAGCCGACCUGAGAGGGUGAUCGGCCACACUGGAACUGAGACACGGUCCAGACUCCUACGGGAGGCAGCAGUAGGGAAUCUUCCGCAAUGGGCGAAAGCCUGACGGAGCAACGCCGCGUGAGUGAUGAAGGUCUUCGGAUCGUAAAACUCUGUUAUUAGGGAAGAACAAAUGUGUAAGUAACUAUGCACGUCUUGACGGUACCUAAUCAGAAAGCCACGGCUAACUACGUG